UUAUUUUAAUUUUCAAAAAAACGUGUAGGUUUAGUUUGAUAUAUUUGAUUUAUUAACAAACUAUAUAGGUAGGUGCAUUUAUAUAAUUUACUUCAGAUUUAUGAUAUUCGGUAAACGCGUGAAGUUAGAGAUAUUUUACGACGAAGAAAUAAUAAUAAUAAAAAGUGAUUAAAUUUUUGAAAUUGUGUUAAAAACACUCAAAUGAGCGAUGAAUUA